AUGGUGCUUGGUUAUACCAGCUGGAGACAACUAAGACACAGCCUAAAGCCACUCUUCUGGGUAACUGAUGAGAUCUCACCUCCAGCCUGGCGUCUUAUCUCCUGUUUGUUGCACCUUUCAACCUUCCUGCAUAAGAUAGUGCAGGGCCCUAUCUUAUGUCAACCACCAAGCCUCAUUGCUCCAGAGGCAAAACAAGAGUGGAGGGCAGUCUGCCAUAGUGCGGAGAAAAGCAGAGGGCAGAUCAGGAACCUGAUGGGAGCCAUUCACUGGCUACAGAUUUUUAACCUUCUGGCCUCUAACAGUGUGGUUGAAUGAGGCCCUACCAGACCGCUGUACCGAUUUUUCGGUAAUUUCUGAAUCUGCUCUAUACCGCUGUUCCUAAUUUUCAGUACUUUGCCUAGACCUAUAUUCUACAAUGUCUCCAAGUUCCAUCUUAUUCUAACCACUUGUUUGCAUGUAACUAACAUUUUUCUAUAUCAUGUUGAUUUUUUCUCUUUAAUGCUCAGGAGCCCAGGUACAGGGGACAGUUAGGUUCAGGGCCUCAGGUCUGGUAGGAUAAAGCCAAAUAAGCUGGAGUGGC